rnacentral:ncRNA from 1 species
AUUAGACAACACGGGAAACCUCACCCAGCCUGGACACGGACAGGAUUGACAGAUUGAGAGCUCCUUCUCAAUUCUGUGGGUGGUGGUGCAUGGCUGUUCUUAGUUGGUGGAGCGAUUUGUCUG